GGCUGGGGUUGCGAGAGGCAUCAGGAUCCCUGGCGGCGCCUGAGCCAGCGGCUGCUAGGAGGCUGUGUCCGCAAGCCAGCGGGGCGAGGCGCCUGGGCCCUGCGCGUCAGGUCCCGGCCUGGGGCACCGGGGCUGCCAGCGUCGGAGGAGAUGGUAGUGUCGAACCAAGUGGAACAAAGAAAGAAGAUCUGAAUGACAAAGAGAAAAAAAAUGAAGACGAAACUCCUGCACCUGUAUAUAGGGCCAAGUCAAUUCUGGAGACCUGGGUGUGGGUCAAGCAACCAGGAAACGGAAGCCCAAAGAGGAGGGGAGCUUACAGCAGGCCCUGGACUAGGGAUUAACACAAAAACAACAGCAACAAAUCUGAUUUAAGCUUCACACAUAUACUCGGGAGACUGAGGCAGGAGAAUCGCUUGAACCUGGGAUGCAGAGGUUGCAGUGAGCCGAGAUCGCACCAUUGCACUCCAGCCUGGGCGACAGAACGAAACUGUGUCUCAUAAAACAAAUAUAACUGAAA
rnacentral:lncRNA from 1 species